UUGAAUGAACUUAGAGUCGGUUGUCGCUGGCUGUCUUUUGCAGCAUGUGCACGCCUUCUCUUUUCAUCCACACACACCCCUGUGCACUUGGUGAGACUGGAGGCCGUAAAAAAGCCUUCAGUCUGCUAAAUUCAUAUACAAACUCAUUUAAUUGAACUGAAUGUACUUAGAUGGUAACGCAUCAUUGAAC
rnacentral:misc_RNA from 1 species